UGGCUUGACAUCUACGGAACCCUCUCGAAACGGAGGAGUGCCUUCGGGAGCCGUAAGACAGGUGCUGCAUGGCUGUCGUCAGCUCGGGUCGUGAGAUGUUGGGUUAAGUCCCGCAACGAGCGCAACCCCCUAUCCUCAGUUGCCAUCAUUAAGUUGGGCACUCUGUGGAGACUGCCGGUGUCAAACCGGAGAAGGUGGGGAUGACGUCAAGUCCUCAUGGCCCUUAUGACCAGGGCUACACACGUGCUACAAUGGCCGGUACAAAGAGUUGCGAUACCGCGAGGUGGAGCUAAUCUCAUAAAGCCGGUCUCAGUUCGGAUUGGAGUCUGCAACUCGACUCCAUGAAGUUGGAAUCGCUAGUAAUCGCGGAUCAGCACGCCGCGGUGAAUACGUUCCCGGGCCUU
rnacentral:rRNA from 1 species